rnacentral:lncRNA from 1 species
AAAAAAACUUGUUCCCCAGUAAGCCGAUUUUAGAACUAUGUAAAAAUUGAUAUGAAAAGACAACUCUUUUGGUAGAUAAUUCCUAGAUUUUAUCUUCCCCGAUAAGCCAUGAGAAUGUAACCCACAACACGAGCACAGAUCAAUAUCAUUCAAUUCAUACAAGAAUUAUCGGACCCACUGCUGACCAACAAGGUCAUAAAAGGUUGCCUUCUCAGAAAUCUACAAUAUUCAGAGUACUAAUAAUUUCAACAAGUAAACCAUCUCUAGUUGAUAAUAAUUUUUUUUCAGAAAAUUAACUUUGUUCCACAACCCAAAAUGCUUAUUUCAAGGACUUAAUAAAUAAUAUUAUACCUGAGAUAAUCCUUUUACAGCAUUAAUUACAUGGAACUUCAACGUACUACAUAGUGUUAGGUAAUUUGCCUUGUGUGUGUGUAGAAAGACAUAUCAUAUAACCACCUUUAAGUAAACUAUAAAUACCAUUUACUAAAAUAAUAAAAUUAGAUGGAAUUGAAGAGAAAUUAAAUUAUAAUUGACAAAAUGUCCUUUCACAAUAAAGUGACCUUGUUUAUCUACUUGACUAAUUUUUAGGAGACAUUUUCUCUCUCCCCCAAUAUUUGAACCAAGGAAAAGAAAGAAAUCACUUAGACAAAGAUUCAAUCCUCUCAAUUAAAUGUUACUUUUCCGGUUUUCCUUGAGAAAAAUUUAUAUGAAAAAUAUAACAAGAAGAAGCAUCCCAUUGUUAGAGUGAACUGAGCUAUGCUUUGAACAUAAGAUGUGAAGAUAAAUGGUUGUUUUGGAGCAUCAAAAGUGUGAAAUAUUACUUUUACUAUAUCUGGCAAUGAAUCAUUGUUUGGUCUUCAAGAUCAGUAUUUCUUGGAAAGUUAACUAAGAGCUUGUUUGGUAUGAAUUUUGAUAAUUGAUUUUUUGACCAUUAGAGAUGAAAUGGGUUCUACCCAUGAGAGAAGAAUUCAAAAAUGACGACUAGAAUAGUGAAAUAACAGUCAAAAAAUUAAUUUUAAUUGACUUUUAAUCCGUAACAAACAAGCACUAAAUAUCAUUUUCCCAUCGCAAUCAAAACAACUCAUUUAGCUCCAGAAUAUCAUAUAUAAGUCCUGUUUGGGCCCCAUUAAUUUCUUGUAAUGUGUUAUGGAAUAUUAAAUUGAUAGAAAAUAUAUGGUUAAAAAGGAAAAAGUUUU